AAUGAACGCUGGCGGCGCGCCUAAUACAUGCAAGUCGAGCGAGAAGACGUAGCAAUACGUUUGUAAAGCGGCGAACGGGUGAGGAAUACAUGGGUAACCUACCCUCGAGUGGGGAAUAACUAGCCGAAAGGUUAGCUAAUACCGCGUACGCUUCUUGGACUUCGGUUCAGGGAGGAAAGCGAUGCCGAGGGUAUCGCGCUCUUGGAUGGGCUCAUGUCCUAUCAGCUUGNGGUGAGGUAACGGCUCACCAAGGCUUCGACGGGUAGCUGGUCUGAGAGGACGAUCAGCCACACUGGCACUGCGACACGGGCCAGACUCCUACGGGAGCAGCAA
rnacentral:rRNA from 1 species